rnacentral:rRNA from 1 species
AGUGAACGCUGGCGGUAGGCCUAACACAUGCAAGUCGAACGGCAGCACAGUAAGAGCUUGCUCUUACGGGUGGCGAGUGGCGGACGGGUGAGGAAUACAUCGGAAUCUACUUUUUCGUGGGGGAUAACGUAGGGAAACUUACGCUAAUACCGCAUACGACCUACGGGUGAAAGCAGGGGAUCUUCGGACCUUGCCCGUUUGUAUGAGACGAUGUCGGAUUAGCUAGUUGGCGGGGUAAAGGCCCACCAAGGCGACGAUCCGUAGCUGGUCUGAGAGGAUGAUCAGCCACACUGGAACUGAGACACGGUCCAGACUCCUACGGGAGGCAGCAGUGGGGAAUAUUGGACAAUGGGCGCAAGCCUGAUCCAGCCAUACCGCGUGGGUGAAGAAGGCCUUCGGGUUGUAAAGCCCUUUUGUUGGGAAAGAAAAGCAGCAGGUUAAUACCCCGCUGUUCUGACGGUACCCAAAGAAUAAGCACCGGCUAACUUCGUG